UACAUUUCUUAAUUUUCCAUAGGACCUCUCCAUCCUCGAGCCCUUCUUCUCCUCUCUCCGCGCCGUCUCGCCUCCCCUGCUCUCGCAGCGCCACCUUCCCUGCCCGGCGCUCGAGGUGCAGCAGUAGGCGCGCCAUGAUUUUGGAUCGGGCGGAUAUCUUCGCCAGGAGAGUAGGAGCACUUGCUGUUAAUAUGAACGAUCUCUCACUAAGUUUUUGUUAUGACGUUGUGUGCCGAUUCAUGAUUUAAACACGCAAAAUGUUUGGUUUGCAUAUUUGUGCCUAGCCCUGUUACCAGCAGUGUAUUUUUUGCUGUAAGAAAGACAGCAGUGCUUUAUUUCUUUGACUUUUUGAUCGUGUCUAAUUUCUGGUAAAAGAGAGGAAUUUGAGAGAGAUAGACAACCUGAAGAGCUUUGAAUGGUUGUUCGAGUGUGCCGCCGGCCUCCUCGCUGCUGUUGUUUGCGUAGCUGGCACGGUGUGUGGCUACUGCCGAGAUAAGCGCAGUUUACUCCAGGUUUGGUGAUGGUGUUGAACAACACCUUAACUGGGCCAAGGAAUUUAGUAGCAUUGCGGGAUCAUAAACCAGUUUUUCUGUUCUCUGUGCUCACAUAGUAAGAACAUGCUUGCAAGUUCUUUUCCCUAGGUGUAAUUUCUUUUGCUGAGAUAGAUUAAGCCUGGGUCGAGGUGGCUGCUGUGUGCCGGUUGCCAGUACUUGUUUGUUGUAAUGUCUUACCCAGUGAGAUUUCUUUUCUUCUUGCCUAUUUUCAGAGGUUCUGCUUGAAGAUUCUCUAAUCACUUUCUUUGGAUUUUUUUUUCCUGAGAUAUGCUUUCAGGUUACUUCAAUGUUACCAGACUUAAAAUGUACUAUCUAGCAUACUAGCACGUGUGUAUAUGAUGCCUCUUUUUAUCCUUGAAUGUAAGACACAUGGUGUUUUGUUCCAUUGUUAUGCUUAACGGAAGUGAUGUUCUGUUAUCAUAUUCAAAACUAUAGCUCUUUGUUUGCAGUAUCUCGAAGGGAGCAAUAUUUUGAUACUUGCUUUAUAGGAAUUCUCUUUCUUUGCCUAGAAUUUGUGAUUUAUGACUGAUGUCAAUUCCACCUUUGUAGGUGCUUCUCAAUUAUUACUAAUUUUGAAACUGCAGAGGAGCAGGAGAUGAGGAGGGCGCCACUUGGUGUACAAUGGUGCAUGAUGCGGCAGUUAGACCGGGAGAUGAGGAGCGCGGCACUGGGUGUACGAAGGAUUAGUAGGAAGAAUGUUAAUCACAGUGGGUGAAAAG
rnacentral:lncRNA from 1 species